rnacentral:tRNA from 2 species
UCCUCGGUCGCCUAAUUGGUUUAUGGCGUCCGGCUGUAACUUGAGAAUGGCACCGGAAUGUCGCGCGUUCGACUUGCACCUGAGGGA